AACAAACGCUGGCGGCAGGCUUAACACAUGCAAGUCGAGCGGAGAUGAGGUGCUUGCACCUUAUCUUAGCGGCGGACGGGUGAGUAAUGCUUAGGAAUCUGCCUAUUAGUGGGGGACAACAUUCCGAAAGGAAUGCUAAUACCGCAUACGCCCUAUGGGGGAAAGCAGGGGAUCUUCGGACCUUGCGCUAAUAGAUGAGCUGAAGUCGGAUUAGCUAGUUGGUUGGGUAAAGGCCUACCAAGGAGACGACCUGUAGCGGGUCUGAGAGGAUGAUCCGCCACACUGGGACUGAGACACGGCCCAGACUCCUACGGGAGGCAGCAGUGGGGAAUAUUGGACAAUGGGCGGAAGCCUGAUCCAGCCAUGCCGCGUGUGUGAAGAAGGCCUUUUGGUUGUAAAGCACUUUAAGCGAGGAGGAGGCUACCUGGAUUAAUACUCUAGGAUAGUGGACGUUACUCGCAGAAUAAGCACCGGCUAACUCUGUGCCAGCCGCCGCAGUAACAC
rnacentral:rRNA from 1 species